AGCACAGAGCCCAGCCUGGGCUCUUAUCUGCCCCGGAGAUAAAGGCCGGGCUCUGGGAAGCCAAAGGCGAAGGCGCCCGGGCCACUGGCCCCGGCUCCCACCGCUCUGGGGUGUGUUUAAUGAGCUCGAGGAAAGAAGGCCUCUCUCAAACCGCAGAGAAGACACUCCCUCCGGGGCUGGCUUUCUGUCUUCUAGGGGGAGGGCCGAGGGGAAACCUCGGCGCUCUCAGGGGCUCCCUGCCUCCCCGGAGGCUUCCCCAGGCCAAGGCGAUAAUGAGCUCCCUGCUCGGAGACGCCAGCUGGGAAUCUGACUAAUCUGUGACUGCAGCCAACAACCCCCUGGCAUGUUCCAGAUCAAGGGUCUGCGUGGAGUGCCGCAUUGGAGAGCACUUGGCAAAAGUCUUGACAGAGCUGGGAACCCAUCAGAUGAUGAAACUGCUUCGUGGCUCAACUCGGUGACACGGCGUAUCCAG